AUCAUUAACGAGUUAGGGUCCCUCGUGGCCCGACCUCCCAACCCUUUGUCUACCUGACCACUGUUGCUUCGGCGAGCCCGUCUGUAAUGGACCGCCGGGGGGUACCUUGAUCGGCCCUCUGGUCCGCGCUCGUCGAUAGCCAAACUUUUAAAAUCUUAACCAAACGUGUCUCAAUCUAAGUAUUAUUUGUUAAAUAAAAGCAAAACUUUCAACAACGGAUCUCUUGGUUCUGGCAUCGAUGAAGAACGCAGCGAAAUGCGAUAAGUAAUGCGAAUUGCAGAAUUUCAGUGAGUCAUCGAAUCUUUGAACGCACAUUGCGCCCUUUGGUAUUCCGAAGGGCAUGCCUGUUCGAGCGUCAUUAUCACCCCUCAAGCCCCCGGCUUGGUGUUGGACGGUUUGGUGGAGGCCCCCUCGCGGGGCCACCGCCCCUCCCAAAGACAAUGACGGCGGCCUCGUUGGACCCCCGGUACACUGAGUUCUUCACGGGACACGUAUCGGACACAUGGGUUUACGGGACACGGUCUGCCUCCCCUCAGGGAGAAUCUUUCUAAGGUUGACC
rnacentral:rRNA from 1 species